GAUCAUCUGAAUCAGUGUCGGUUUUGGAUUCUGUAUCGGAUGCUCUGAGGAUGAAAGGUGAGUGUUUAAGGGAAUGAGAAGUUGAAAAGGAAGUGGAGAAAGGUAGAUGAGAGAGUUUGGGAUGGGAAUGGGAUUGAGAGCAUAGAAUGAAGGAAGAGGAAGAGGAAGAGGAAUGGUUAGGAGGGCAAAUUUUGGGAAGUAAGUGUGAAGAAUAGAGAUAAGGAGGAGCUAAAGACAUGGUGUUGAACAUCAAAAUUCUUCACUGCUCACACUCAAGGGGAUUAGAUGUAAU
rnacentral:lncRNA from 1 species